CUACGGGUCGCUGCAGUGGGGAAUAUUGGACAAUGGGGGCAACCCUGAUCCAGCCAUGCCGCGUGAGUGAUGAAGGCCUUCGGGUUGUAAAGCUCUUUUGGCGGGGACGAUGAUGACGGUACCCGCAGAAUAAGCCCCGGCUAACUUCGUGCCAGCAGCCGCGGUAAGACGAAGGGGGCUAGCGUUGUUCGGAAUUACUGGGCGUAAAGCGCGUGUAGGCGGUUGCCCAAGUCGGGUGUGAAAGCCUUGAGCUCAACUCAAGAAAUGCACUCGGUACUGGGUGACUAGAGGACCGGAGAGGAUAGUGGAAUUCCCAGUGUAGUGGUGAAAUACGUAGAGAUUGGGAAGAACACCAGUGGCGAAGGCGGCUAUCUGGACGGUUUCUGACGCUAAGACGCGAAAGCGUGGGGAGCAAACAGGAUUAGAUACCCUCGUAGUC
rnacentral:rRNA from 1 species